UCUUGAAGAUGUGUCUUUAUUUUAAUUUUAUUAUUUAUAGGUUGUCUCUUUAUUUUAAUUUUAAAUUGUAUUUAUUUUAAUAAUUGUUCUUCUCUUUUAUGCCAAUUUAUUUUGUUACAGAAUCAUUGUUUGCAUUUAAUUGUUUUGGCCGAAUUGUUGACACUUCAGGUUCUCGAUGCGUAUUAAGCCGCUGGCACAUAGCAAUUAUGCUUUUAUACAAUAUCCGUGCUCGUACUCGUCCAGCCAAUGCCAGUCCGCCCAACCACUAUCGGGUCCGGUGUUGCGAUGCCAUCGAAGUGGGCUUAUUGCGACGCAGCAGUAGAACCGCCAGAUGCGCUCCACCCAUUGUAACGCUUCACCCACCACCCACACCACCUGCAGAUACGAUGCGGCGGCGGCGAUGGCGUCAAUAAAGUGUUGGCGCGCACUGUGCGUGGACAAAUGUAAAAUGCACUCUUGACAACACACACACGAACACAUGUACACGCCCACAACACGAAACCCGGGAGCACAGUGGGUUCGAGCGCGAAGGAACACGAAUGAUAACAGCAGGAGACAGGAUAGACACCGGACGGACGAUAAUAAGUUUUUAUGCUGAAACGUAUACGACACGUCUGCUGCGCUG
rnacentral:lncRNA from 1 species